GUAAAUCAGGGAUUUCUUCUUGGUUUGGAUCCAUUGCUGAUUUUAGGUUACAAAAAGAUGGCAGAUUGCAUCUUGGGCACUCUCUUGCCAGUUUUCAUGUGGUGAGAGGCCUGGCAGAGGGGCCCAAAUGAGUUCACUGGGAAGUGGAUCACAGAAACCAUGAGGCCUAUAAAAGCCCCAGGCUCAGCCAGAGCACAGCAGAUAAUGGGAUGACCAGCUGCAGAAAAGAGCUACCCUUUCUGCUGACAGCAGGAGAUGUCCCAAUAACCAGUAGAAGAGAGGAGCUACCCAUUCUAGGGCCUCUUUUCUGCUGAGAGCUUCAGAAACCUGCAGAGACAUUGAGACUACCAGCUUGAUAGCACAGUGGAGCAAUCCACACCAGGGCCGCCUCUCUGCUGAGAGCUAAGAAGACAAUGGGAUGACCUGCCUGCUAGGAGGAGCUUCCCUCUCCAGGGUCUCCUUUCUGCUAAGAGCUGAACACUCAUCAGGACACCCUGGCUGUGGAAAGGAGCUACCAUCUGCAGGUCUCCUGUGUGCUGUUCUAUUGCUCAAUAAAGCUCCCCUUCAUCUUGCUCAUCCUCCACUUGGCUCUGUACCUCAUUCUUCCUGGUUGCAGGACAAGAACUCAGGACCUACCGAAUGGCAGAGCUAAAAGAGCUAUAACACAGGGCUGAAACAUGCCCCUUACUUGCCACACUGAGGUCAAAGAGAAGGAGAGAAGAGCGGUGCCUUCUCAGGCAGCCCAGACCUGAGAGCUCCCUGAGCCAGGGUUGUGACUCCCUCUUUGGGAUCCUGUGGUGCCUGGUAUCUCCAAGCUACCAGGUGCCACUGCAUCUCCCGGUGCCAGCUGGGGAAGCUGCCUGCAGUGCACCUCGUCUGGCCACAGCCUCAUAGAUAGCCAGUGCCUGUGCCAGCACCUCUAACUGCCCAUCCCAUUGCAGCAGCCAGCAUGUGUGAUUGCACAGUGGCUGAACCCCAUGCUCCCUCACACACCCCUUGCCACUCCAUGCCUGACUUGCCCUUGGCAGGUAUGGGAUCCAGGCCAGUAGCGUAAGCCAAGUACAGCCUGCCAGGCCGAGUGGGCAGAACAAGCCCAGCGGGCCUAAGCAAGACUUGGGCAAAGACAUCACCAGACAGAAAAGCAAUACCACAAAGAUCUUGUGACACUAGGCAUAGUGAAGUUCUUUAUUAAUUUGUAGAUUUUUAUCCUGGAAAAUUCUAAUAUUUUCAACUAUUAAAAAGGAUAAUCCCAAAAAUAAUGGUUUAUUGUCAUGUAAAACAUUAACUAGAUUGUAUGUAUCUUAGCUAUAUUAUUCUAACAUAAAAUUCAUUAACUUGUCUUUAAGAAACUAGUUCCUAAAAUGCACUUUGAACCAUAUUUAUAAUCUCAUUAGUCCUCUACUUAAUUAGGAAGUGGAGUAAAAUAUUUGAUAUUAUUUUCUUUUUAUGUUUACAAAAGUCACCAUUUAAAUUCUUUGAAUAUUAACAUGUCAUACUUUUGGAGGAUCCACUGAGACACUAAAGUGGGUUCAUAAAGACAACCAAACUGUGAUAGCACAGAAAUGUACUUCAGGAGCUGUUUAGGAGGGACUUCUUUGCUUUCUCCUCAAAGUGAUUCUCAAAAAGCAAUAGAGUAUUGGUGCAGUGGCUAACGCCUACAAUCGAGCACUUUGGAAGACCAGAAUUGUUUGAGUUCAGGAGUUCAAGACCAGUACAGGAAAUAGUGAGACCUUGUCUCUACAAAAAAUACAAAAAUUAGCCAGGUGUGCUGGCAUGUGCUGUGCUUUUUGUCUAGCUACUUGGGAGGCUGAGGUGGAGGGACUGCUUGAAACUGGGAGGCCAAGACUGAAGUAAGCCAUGAUCCUGCCAGUAUACAUCCAUAUGGGGGAAAGAGCAAGACUGUUUC